UACGGAGGAUCCGAGCGUUAUCCGGAUUUAUUGGGUUUAAAGGGUGCGUAGGCGGCCUUGUAAGUCAGGGGUGAAAGACGGUAGCUCAACUAUCGCAGUGCCUUUGAUACUGCAGGGCUUGAAUGUACUUGAGGUAGGCGGAAUGUGACAAGUAGCGGUGAAAUGCAUAGAUAUGUCACAGAACACCAAUUGCGAAGGCAGCUUACUAAAGUAUGAUUGACGCUGAGGCACGAAAGCGUGGGUAGCAAACAGG
rnacentral:rRNA from 1 species